rnacentral:rRNA from 1 species
CCUACGGGCGGCUGCAGUGGGGGAUAUUGCACAAUGGGGGAAACCCUGAUGCAGCAACGCCGCGUGAGUGAAGAAGUAUUUCGGUAUGUAAAGCUCUAUCAGCAGGGAAGAGAAUGACGGUACUUGACUAAGAAUCCCCGGCUAAAUACUGGCCAGCAGCCGCGGUAAUACGUAGGGGGCGAGCGUUAUCCGGAUUUACUGGGUGUAAAGGGGGCGUAGACGGCUGGUCAAGUCUGAAGUGAAAGCCCUGGGCUUAACCCCGGAACGGCUUUGGAAACUGGGCAGCUAGAGUGCUGGAGAGGUAGGCGGAAUUCCUAGUGUAGCGGUGAAAUGCGUAGAUAUUAGGAGGAACACCAGUGGCGAAGGCGGCUUACUGGACAGUAACUGACGUUGAGGCGCGAAAGCGUGGGGAGCAAACAGGAUUAGAUACCCGAGUAGUC